AAACCAUAUGUUGUAGUUGAUUUUAGUGAUUAUUCCUUCUCGAGUAAAGUAAGAUAAAAUAGAAAUGUACAUUUUUGCAGCACAUUCCACCACAUAGAACUUAUCCGAAAAAAGAGUAAGCCUGUGGACACAAUGCUGUGCUAGCUUCAGAUGCCACAGGACAUGUGGUGAUGACAAUAGUUGGAGAAAUGCCUGUCAGGAAAGCAUGAUAUAACAUAGCAUUCCUAAGUUUUCAGAGAGUCAUUGGCUUGUGUACUUUUAUACAGAAUGUUAUGGAAGUCACCAAUUGCUAUUUACUAAAAAAUGCCUAAGAAUAUUCACC